GCAACUGUGGUAUAGUGGUUAACAUGCUCGCUUCCCAAGCGAGCGGCCCGGGUUGGAACCCCGGCAGUUGAG